AUGCAGUCUCUGCUAGCCCUUGGUCUGCUCCUGCUGCUGAGGCUCGAUGGAGGUGUGGCCGUGGCGGCGGAAGACGGCCGGUUCGCCUACCAAGGCUUCGCCGCCGCGAACCUCACGCUAGACGGCGUCGCCGCCGUCACGCCCAACGGCCUCCUGCUGCUCACCGACACGGAGUACCAGACAACAGGCCAUGCCUUCCACCCUGCACCACUCCGCUUCCUCGAGAGCUCCACCACGACGACGAACAGCGCCGCCGCCAUGGCGCGGUCCUUCUCCGUGUCCUUCGUGUUCGCCAUUAGGUCCAGAUACGACGGCCUGACCAGCUACGGGCUUGCGUUCGUCGUCGCGCCGACCUCCAACCUCUCAGCUGCCGAGAGUGGGCGGUACCUGGGCCUCCUCAACGGGACAAAUGGCACGGCGAGCGAUCCCAUCUUGGCGGUCGAGCUCGACACCAUCAUGGACGUCGAGUUCCGCGACAUCAACAGCAACCACGUCGGCAUCGACGUCAACAGCCUCAUCUCACGCCAGGCCAAGCAGGCUGGGUACUACAGCGACGAGAACGGCGCCUUUCAAGAGCUGAGGCUGAACAGCCGCCAACCGAUGCAGGUGUGGGUAGACUAUGAUGCACAGGUCAGACGACUCAAUGUGACUUUAGCGCCCGUGCAGCUACCAAAGCCCAAGAUUCCUCUACUCUCCGAACUCAUUGAUCUCUCCUUAAUCAUGGCGGACAAGAUGUAUGUCGGCUUUUCGGCUUCCGGAGGUUGGGGCGUAGGUACGCACCACUAUGUCCUUGGAUGGAGCUUCAGCUUGGACGGACCUGCCCCGCCGCUAGACUUCUCCAAGCUUCCUGUCCUACCACGCCUGGGUCCCAAGCCUCAGUCGAAGAUCUUGGAUGUCGUGUUGCCACUAGCCGCGACAUUGCUUGUCAUUGCAAUGCUAGCUGCCAUCUUCUUCUUCUUGUGGCAUCGGCGUCGAUUUGCUGAGGUUCGAGAAGAUUGGGAGGACGAGUUCGGCCCACACCGUUUCGCGUACAAGGAUCUAUUUCAUGCCACUGAGGGGUUUUCCGGUAUGAAUUUACUUGGUGUGGGAGGAUUUGGAAGAGUGUAUAGAGGAGUGCUUUAUGCGUCCAAUUUGGAGGUUGCGGUGAAGAGAGUGUCACAUGAUUCAAAACAAGGAAUAAGGGAGUUCAUCGCAGAGGUGGUGAGCAUUGGUCGUCUCCGCCACCGUAAUCUCGCUCAGUUACUAGGCUACUGUCGGCGAAAGGGUGAACUUCUAUUGGUUUAUGAGUACAUGGAAAAUGGUAGUCUUGACAAGUACUUGUACAAUAAAAAUAAGCCAGCUCUACAUUUAUCCGAGAGGUAUCGGAUCAUCAGAGAUGUUGCAUCAAGUUUGUUGUAUCUUCAUGAGGAAUGGGAGCAAAUCGUCAUCCAUCGAGAUAUAAAGGCUAGUAAUGUGCUCUUGGACAGUCGAAUGAUUGGACGGCUUGGUGAUUUUGGUCUAGCAAGGUUAUAUGACCAUGGGACGGUUACUACAACAACACAUGUGGUGGGCACCAUGGGGUACCUUGCACCAGAACUUAUACGCACAGGAAAGGCAACACCCUUAACCGACGUGUUCGCAUUUGGCGUGUUUCUCUUAGAGGUCGCCUGUGGGCGUAGGCCAAUUGGAAGUAGCAAGGACAUCACACAAGUAGUGUUGGUUGACUGGGUGCUUGAACAUCACCGCAGUGGCUCAAUUCUCGAUGCGGUGGAUCCAUGUCUCAUGGGGAAUUUUAACACAGAGGAAGCCAGCAUCCUUCUCAAAUUAGGUUUAUUAUGUGCCUACCCAUCGCCCACUGGAAGGCCUAGCAUGCGGAAGGUCAUGCAAUACCUAGACCGUGACCAGUCAAUUCCUGACCUAUCUCCAACAUACGCGAGUUACAGCACGAUAGCAAUGAUGCAGAAUGAGGGGUUCGAUUCGUACAUAAUGUCGUGUCCUCCGUCGAACACGAGUAUCAGCAUUGUACCUGUCGAGUCUUCAGUGGAGAUUCCGCAAGAGGGGAGGUGA
rnacentral:rRNA from 1 species